rnacentral:rRNA from 1 species
GACGAACGCUGGCGGCGUGCUUAACACAUGCAAGUCGAGCGGAGCGGCGAACGGGUGAGUAACGCGUGAGUAACUGCCCCCCUCUCUGGGAUAACAGUUGGAAACGGCUGCUAAUACCGGAUAGUGGGGGAUGACUCGCGUCGUAGCAGCUUGUUGGUGGGGUAGUGGCCUACCAAGGCGACGACGGGUAGCCGGCCUGAGAGGGCGACCGGCCGCACUGGGGUGGGAACCGCCCCAAACUCAUACGGGAGGCAGCAGUGGUGGAUAUUGCGCAAUGGGGGAAAGUCUGUCGGCGCAACGCGCGUUAGGGAUGACGGCCGUCGGGUUUUAAAGCUCUGUUAAUCGGGACGGCGAAUAGUGCGAGGAUUUGACGGUACCGGAAUAGUAAGCCACGGCUAACUACGUGCCAGCAGCCGCGGUAAUAC